AAAGAACUACAGGUACUGCUGCUCGCCAACAAAGAUGAUCCACCUUUCCACUCUACCUCAGGACAUUUCCGAAGAGGAGAUAGUGAGCCAUUUAGAGGAGCAUGGCACCAUCGUCAAUACCAAACUCUUUGAGAUGAAUGGCAAGAAGCAGGCCCUUGUUCUGUUUGAAACUGAGGAGCAAGCCACUGAAGCUGUUGUGUGCAAGCAUGCAAGUUCACUUGCUGGGUCAAUAAUCCGGAUUUCCUUUUCCCAGCUACAAUCAAUUAGAGAA
rnacentral:misc_RNA from 1 species